GCCCGGCUAGCUCAAUCGGUAGAGCGUCAGACUCUUAAUCUGAAGGCUGUGGGUUCGACCCCCACGUUGGGCG
rfam:Mortierella elongata AG-77 unplaced genomic scaffold K457scaffold_35, whole genome shotgun sequence.